CAAAAUAGGAACGUACGCGUCAAGUGUUCGGCGGAUGGGGAGUUGCCGCUGAAACGAAAAGCACGGACAAGCUGCUUGCGGUGUAUGUUCCGCACCCGUUG
rnacentral:ncRNA from 1 species